rnacentral:rRNA from 1 species
UACGUAGGGUGCAAGCGUUGUCCGGAAUUAUUGGGCGUAAAGAGCUCGUAGGCGGUUCGUCGCGUCGGCUGUGAAAUCCCGAGGCUCAACCUCGGGUCUGCAGUCGAUACGGGCGGACUGGAGUACUGCAGGGGAGACUGGAAUUCCUGGUGUAGCGGUGAAAUGCGCAGAUAUCUAGAGGAACACCGGUGGCGAAGGCGGCAUCCUGGACCAACACUGACGCUGAGGAGCGAAAGCCAGGGUAGCAAACGGG